CACAGCACCUCUUUUCCCCUUUCAGAAGUGGACUCCGCCUCCUCCAGGAAUCACCUCAGUUAUUAGUCACAGCUGUGGGCUACAGGGGUCUGCAGAGCCACUUCGCCAUCUAGGAAAGUUGUGGCUCGGGGAGGAGACGCCCCGUUCUUUUCUCCGGCAGGGGCCGCAGAUCCCAGAUUCCACAGGCCUCUCCCAGCAGCUCCAUCUUGCUUCCUGCCAGGAGGAGGGGCCGACGAGGAGGGCCCCCGAGUCUGGAAAGGCCCCAGUGGGAGGAAGCCGUUUGACAGCAGAUGAGGAAACUGAAACCCAGAGAGGCUCGGGGGCUUGCUCAAGGUCACAACGCGGGGGCGUCAGGAUUCAAACCCGAGGCGGUCUGGCUCCCGAGCCCACCGGCAAAGCCACAGGCAGCGCAGGGGAGCCGCGAGGCGAGCCGGAACCCCAGGGACGUCUCCCGCCCCCGUUCCCCAUCCCAGGCCCAGCGCGCUCACCCGAACGAGGUUACUGACGGCCGCCUGCACGGCGGCCACAGGCGCAGUGAGGUCAGGGAUGGCUUUGCCGUCCACUUCGCCUUCCUCGUGCAUGAUCACCAGGUGCGAGAUCUGCUGCGCCACCGGCUCCAGAAUGCUCUCAAUCGUGCGCGUAUGAAACACCGGCAUCGCGGCGGCGAGCGGGGCGGCGAACCGCGGGCUACAGAGAACUGAGAACGGCGGGGCCGGGAAUCCGCGGAGAGACGGACUCUGAGCAGCGACUACGGAGUCCGGGCUUCCCUCGGCGUAACCAGCCUCGCGGGCGCCCCGCCCCCUCUCGUCGCCGCGCCCAAUGGCAGCGCCGCUCAGACCCGGGCCUCCACUCCUAUUGGCCCCUCUUUGAGAUGCUCCGCCCACGCAACCGCGCCGCCAAGGCCCCGCCCCGCCCCCAUUCCCAAGGGAGGGGCCUGGGAGUGGGGCUGAGCCACGGGUUUUGCGACCGGAUUCCCGAGCCCUAACGCCGGGCGCUCCUUAUAAGGGCAUGGUGGGAAAGGAGCGUGCGGCUGGAGUCGGGGCCCCGCCCCCCAGGGCCGCCUCCCGUGUUGGCUCUGCAGAGCUCCGCCCCUCUGCAGAAUCACCUCAGCGGGGCGGGGUCUCCUCACCUCAGACGGCGCUGGAGUCUGAAGAGACCGGGGAGCUACUGGGCUCAGACCGACAUUACUGCCUUCUGCUUUCCCAUCCAGACCCACAGUCAGGUGGGUUACACAAUGCAAAGAGCACAAACUCGGAAGUCAUCCAGAGCUCAAGCCGUAAUCCCAGCUUUACAACUUGAUUGGGAUAGAACUCUGGUGAGUGGCUUUUCUUCUCUCUGCCUCAAUAUCUUUCUUUGUAAAAGUGAAAUGAUACCACCCUCACAGAGCUGAUAUACGGACUGGUGAAUGAAUUUGUGUAAACACCAAGGAGACCUCAGUAAAAGGAAGCUAUUAUUAUUAUUGGAGCAGUCACAAACAGACAUAUUCUAAUAUCCAAAAAUCUGUGGUGGAGUUUCACUUUUGAGUUUUGCCUGCAUUUCUUUCCCACCUAGAAAGUUCUCUCUACUUGUCUAUGUCUUAUCUACUCUGGUAGGUAAAAUUCUAAGAUGUCCCCCUAGAUUUACGGCCCCUGGUCUAAUCCCCAGGACUAUGACUAUAAUAGAUUUUACUCCCAUGAUUAGAUGACGUUAUAUAGUACAGUUGAAUUUAAGAUAGGGAGGUUAUCGAGCAGCCCUCGCCUAAUUGCAUUAGCCCCCUUAAAGCAGAGAAUUUUCUCCAGCUGGUCACAGAAGAGGAAAUUAAAAAUUAGAAGCACAAGAAGGAUUUGACAAGCUAUUGCUGGAUUAAAGAUGCAAGAAGCCACAUAUCAAGGAAUGCAGGCAGCUUCUAGGAGCUAGGCCUGGCCCUGGCUGACAGACAGCAGGAAAACAUGGACCUCAUUCCCACAGCCGCAAGGAACUGAAUUCUGCCAACAAGAAGAAUGAUCUUGGUAACAGAUUCGCCCCAAAGCUUCCAGAUGAGAACUCAGUCCAGUUGGCACCUUGAUUACAGCCUUGUGAUACUGAGCAGAGAACCCAGCCUCACCACACAGGACUUCUGACGUAUACAAUUUUGAGAUAAUAAAUGGGCGUUGUGGGCUUCCCUGGUGGCACAGUGGUUAAGAAUCCGCCUGCCAAUUCAGGGGACAUGGGUUCGAGCCCUGGACCGGGAAGAUCCCACAUGCCGCAGAGCAACUAAGCCCAUGUGCCACAACUACUGAGUCUGCGCUCUAGAGCCUACGAGCCACAACUACUGAGCCCACAUGCCACAACUACUGAAGCCCGUGCACCUAGAGCCCGUGCUCUGCAACAAGAGAAGCCACCGCAAUGAGAAGACUGAGCACCACAACGAAGAGUAGCCCCCGCUCGCCACAACUAGAGAAAGCCUGCGCGCAGCAACGAAGA